rnacentral:rRNA from 1 species
AUACGGAGGAUGCAAGCGUUAUCCGGAUUUAUUGGGUUUAAAGGGUGCGUAGGCGGUUUGCUAAGCGGGAGGUGAAAUGCCGGCGCUCAACGUCGGAAGUGCCUCCCGAACUGGUGGACUUGAAUGACUCUGCCGUGGGAGGAAUGUGUAGUGUAGCGGUGAAAUGCUUAGAGAUUACACAGAACACCGAUUGCGAAGGCAUCUCACGAAGGGUUGAUUGACGCUGAGGCACGAAAGCGUGGGGAUCAAACAGGAUUAGAUACCCUGGUAGUCCGCGCAGUAAACGAUGAUGGCUAACCGCUGGGCUUAUCAGUUCAGUGGCCAAGCGAAAGCGAUAAGCCAUCCACCUGGGGAGUACGACCGCAAGGUUGGAACUCAAAUGAAUUGACGGGG